rnacentral:tRNA from 1 species
AGCUCAGUUGGUUAGAGCAGACGGCUCAUAACCGUCCGGUCGUAGGUUCGAGUCCUACAAGGU